AUACGUAGGUGACAAGCGUUAUCCGGAUUUACUGGGCGUAAAGGGCGUGUAGGCGGUCUUGCAAGUCAGAAGUGAAAUUCCUGAGCUCAACUCGGGCGCUGCUUCUGAAACUGCAGGCCUUGAGUGCUGGAGGGGAUAGCGGAAUUCCUAGUGGAGCGGUAAAAUGCGCAGAUAUUAGGAAGAACACCGGUGGCAACGGCGGAUAUCUUGACAGUACCUGACGCUGAAGCGCCAAAGCGUGGAGCGCAAACAGGAUUAGAUACCCUGAUCGCCCACGCCGUAAACGAUGAAUACUAAGUGUAGUGGGUAUCGACUCCCUCUGUGCCGCAGUUAACACAAUAAGUAUUCCGCCUGGGGAGUACGGCCGCAAGGUUGAAACUCAAAUGAAUUGACGGGG
rnacentral:rRNA from 1 species